UAUUUAAAAGGAAAAAACCAAGCUCCAACUAAAAAAACAGAAAAAAAAGCAGCAAAAUGGGUGGCGAUUUGAAUGUGAAAAGGACUUCCUACAGCAUCGGUGCGGCGGCGGAGCUAAUGCUGCUACAACUUCCUGAUUCACAGCGAUCCUCAAGAAUGCAAGGAUCUAUUCCCUAUCAUACCGUACUAGUUUAUAUAUAUUUCAUAUCUCUAUCUAAUAGACAGCGAAAUUUUUAUUUUUGUUUGUUAGGUGGAGAAGCGUCUAGAAGA
rnacentral:misc_RNA from 1 species